CCUAAAAACCCUGAGGACCUGGAGGUGGAGUCCCGUGGGUUUGCUGGGCUGGCACAGCACAGAGUUUUUCCUUAAAGCUGCAGGUGCCAUCGAUGGAUGCCACAUCAGGAUCAUACCUCCUGGUGACCCUGGUAUCAUUCCAAAAGCGCCCUCGAUUAUAGAGCGUGCUUUGGAAUGAUGAAGACAAGAUUCAGAGGCAUCUUCCUGCAAGUGCUGGAGGUUGUCACAGCUUGUGCCAUCCUCCACAAUAUCUGCUCCUGUGCUGAUGACACCGAGGCCCCAGAGGAUGAUGUGGAGGUGAUGAUGAGGAGGAAGCUGGUCUGAAGGUCACCAGUGGUGCUCUCUGGCAGGACCAACUACCUACUGAGGUUUCUGCCCUGGGGGACGUACCACCUGACCUUGAUUACUUUUAACAGCAUCCGUCCACAGCCAACCCUGUAAACCCUGGAGAUGGUCGAUGCAGUCUACAGUGAAGAUGCUUCCUGAAACUCUGGAGACCAUCCUGCAAGAUGUUCCAAUCACCACCCAGAAAGUUCCAUCCCCGCGUCUCAGUUGAAGCAUCUCAUCCAUGUCGACCAUCUUUGUAAAUAGUGUUACAAUGAAUGACGAUUACUGUGUUGGAUUUAUACCUUUAUUUAUAUUAAAAAA